UACGUAGGGUGCGAGCGUUGUCCGGAAUUAUUGGGCGUAAAGAGCUCGUAGGCGGUGUGUCGCGUCGGCCGUGAAAACCUGCAGCUUAACUGUGGGCUUGCGGUCGAUACGGGCAUCACUGGAGUUCGGCAGGGGAGACUGGAAUUCCUGGUGUAGCGGUGAAAUGCGCAGAUAUCAGGAGGAACACCGAUGGCGAAGGCAGGUCACUGGGCCGCAACUGACGCUGAGGAGCGAAAGCAUGGGGAGCGAACAGG
rnacentral:rRNA from 1 species